UUUUUUUUUUUUUUUUUUGCUUUUUAGGGCUGCAUUCGCGGCACAUGGAGGUUCCCAGGCUAGGAGUUGAAUUGGAGCUAUAGCUGCUGGCCUAUGCCACAGCCACUGCAACACGGGAUCCGAGCCACAUUUCGAUCCACACCACAGCUCACAGCAAUGCCGGAUCCUUAAUCCACUGAGAAAGGCCAGGGAUGGAACCCCCAUCCUCAUGGAUACUAGUUGGAUUCGUUUCCACUGCACCGUGACGGGAACUCCUUUUCCUCUUCUUAUAAGGACAUCAGUUAGACUGGAUUCAGAGCCCACCCUACUCCCACAUGAUCUCAUCUUAACUAGUUAUAUCUGUAAAAAUGCCUUUUCCAGAUAAGGUCACAUUCUGAGAUUUGGGGAAACACAUGAAUUUUGAAGUGACACUCUUCCGAUACACAUCACAGCUGAUCACCACUGGCUCUGAAUCCAGAGGCUCCCAGCUGCUAUCUCAACAGUUACUUUUCUUUACAAAGUUAACCUAAAUGCAAGGGGGGACUACCUACUCCAGAAAUAUGGUUUCCUUUCAUUGUUUAUGGAUAGAUUAUUGUACAGAUUCAUUUUCCAGGUUCCAGGGAGGGAACAUACAGGGAAAGACAAGCAUCGGCCUUGCUUAAGCACUUACUAUAUUCUCCACUGAGACAAUGUAUAUGUUCAAUUCAACAUAACCUGUAAAACUCCAUGGAAACAGAAGCCAAAUAAAUUGUUGUUCAGGGCAUAAUGCUGUGCAAACAUCCAUGCCAAUUUUACUAAACCCUGAAGCGAAAGUCUGAGUAAUUAAUUGUUUCAGGGGAAAUAACUUCAUUUUAAUUUUGAGGUUAAAAUCUGUGUAUAAUUUGGAAACUUAUCAGAAAAUUGAAAGCUUGUAUUUUGUCACCAAAAGUUAGUUUCACUUAUUUAUCAAAAUGAUAAAACUGGGACAUUGAGAAACUGCAUUAAAUUCUUCACAUUGCACAUGCGUAUUCAGGAUGAUCGGAACACUACGUCUCUCUUUCUGCAGAAAGCAAACAUCUAUAAUGUGCUGUAAGAUGGGUACUUAAUAACAUCUUCCUUGCACAAGGUCUGGAGUAGAAUAUUUAAGCUUUAUUGUUCUUUCUGUAAAUUCAGACCAUGCAGUCUACAAUAACCAAAACUAUCUUAAAGAUUAAACACAGAGAAAAAAAAUUCAAGGAGCCUAUGCCUGUUUUUCUGGUCUUUGGAACGAGCUCCUUUGGGGUCCUGAGUCCAUCAUGAGUGAGGCACACUGCUUAUCUCUUUUAAUGAGAAGUUGGUUUUAUCAGACUUCCAUUAAAACUCUCUUCUAAUUUGUUCAUAAAAGUUUUGAACUGGAAGAGCAGAACAAGGGUCCUAUACACUUCUCUUCAGAUUGCCAUCACCCUUUGGUAAGAGCCAUGAGCCACAAACAAACCCACCUUGCUGAACCAUCACUGGCCUAACCUCGUUUUCCCAGAUGCCUAGUGGUGUGGUAUGAGAGACUGUUGGGUGCUGUGUUAACAAACCCACUAAUGCUAUGUCUACUUACCUCCUUUUAUUUGAUUUGUUAGUAGCUAAGUGUGGGGGGAAUCACGCCAAAAAAGAAAUAAGGUUAACUGUAGCUGAUCUGUUAGUUAAUCUGAUUAUUUAGCUAUUUGUUCGCGAAGCAGUGGUUACAUCUUUCCUUUUUAAGAAAGAUAUUAUUUGAGUUUUUGAAUUUUGGCCAGGAUUAACAUUACCAACACACUGUUUCUAGACAUAAUAAUAACUCUAAUCAUUGCCAUUUUAUUGAGUUCCUAUUCUGUCUCAGGCACUGUAUUAAGUGCUUUAUUUACGUUAUUUCAUUUAAUUUCUACUACAAGCCUUGGUGGUAGAUUUUACUCCCAGAUGGAGAAUGAAGGCCAGAGUUGUUUCAUUGCUUUUCCAUAUCCACACGGUUUAUAUGAGACAGCCAGUAUCCAUGGCACUUCUGUCUAAUUCAUAAGCCCACGCUUAUAACUACAGCUCUGAUCACCUGAUGAUAUCCUCUACAAAUCAAUACUGCACUUUAUGAAUGUUUAUUGUGCUAUCUGUUAAGUGUGUCCCUUCUCUAAGAACCAUGUCUUAUUUCUCUUUUUACCCCAGCACUUAGCACAGUACUUGUUACCUAGAAACAUUCUCCAUAAAGUUUUGUUAAGUAAAUGCAUUAAAAAAAUGUCAUUUUAUUAUCCAUGAUCUUCCUAUGUCUGAAAAUUAGGAGACCUCCCUUAUCCAACCUAUCUCCUUGUCCACAGGGAUUACAGAUAUGGCACAAUUAUCUUUACGUUUCUGGCACUCAGGGAGUCUCAUAAUAUCCUCUCUAUCCAAGGCUUAAAGAGAGUCUUUGCUUAGCUUUUUCAAUCUCUGAUCAUCACCUGGUCAGAGAACACAAAGCAAAAUGGAAAAUCAGCAGUUUUCUUUUCUUUCAGGGCCAUUAACUUGUCACCAGCUGUCAGAUAUGAACUUAAGCCUGCUAUAUUUUUCAUCUCUAAACAUAAAUCACUUCUUAUUACCUUUAAUCUUUUUCUUAUGAAACAGAUCACCAUGAUACAUUGGGGCAACACACUUAAAACUGAGCACUUUUAGGCCUAAAGUAUCAUUCUUUUACCUAUCCAUGAAAUCACAUUUAAAAUACAAUUUUAAUAAUUUCAGAACACUGGGGGAAGAAUAAGUUAAUAAAUGUUCCUAAUACUCUAAGAAUUCUGAAUUAUGUUUAUAUAUCUAGCAAUCUCACAAAUGGAGAAAAAUUGCAAAAAAUGGUGGCUUUAUUCUUCAAAAUGGAAAGAUAUUCUGUUUUGGGUUUGACGAACAUCUACCAAUUUUUGUCUCCUUGCCUAUUCUUUUGUUUUGUUUUGUUUGUUUUUUAGGGCCACACCUGCAGCAUGUGGAGGUUCCCAGGCUAGGGGUAGAACAGGAGCUGCAGCUGCCGGCCUACCCUACAGCCACAGCAAUGUGGGAUCUGAGCUCCGUCUGCGACCAACACAGCUCACAGUAAUGCUGGAUCCUUAACUUAGUGAGGCCAGCUUUCUAACCCAUACCCUCAUGGACACUAGUUGGGUUCAUAACCUGCUGAAUCACAGUGGGAACUCACUCCUUGCCUAUUUGCACACACACGAACACACACACAGAGGAAUACAUGCUCAGGCAGUGUAGUUUGACAGUUAUCUCCUCCCACCCAGGAAUUCUAUGUUUUGGUCAGUAAUUUGGAAUGUGCUUAAUAUUCAACUUAAUGUGGUCCCUAACUCAAUAGUCUACAGGGAGGGAACCAGAUGGCAUAUAUCAAGAUCUCAGAAAUCAAGAUCUUCACUCACUCAAGGGUUGGAUGCAUCAAACAGAUGAACUCGGCAAAUGCCAGCAACAAUACUGAUCUCAGGAGAACCAUUGGCUGAGAUCCCCAACUAGGAAGGAAUAAAGCCUGAGCAUAUUCAAGUCACACAGGAACCAGAUUAAAGUCAGAUGUAAGGUGGAGCGGAGGGGCAAAAUGGAUAAAGGGGGUCAACUCUAUGAUGAUGAAUGGAAACUAAAUUUUUGGUAGUGAGCAUGCUGUAGUAUAUACAGAAGUAGAAAUAUAAUGUUGUACACAUGAAACUUUAAAAAAUAGCCAGAUAUGGGAGUUCCCAUCGCGGCUCAGUGGUUAAUGAAUCUGACUAGGAACCAUGAGGUUGGGGAUUCAAUCCCUGGCCUUGCUCAGUGGGUUAAGGAUCCGGCGUUGCAGUGAGCUGUGGUGUUGGUCAGAGAUGCGGCUCGGAUCCCACAUUGCUGUGGCUCUGGUGUAGGCUGGCAGCUGUCGCUCUGAUUAGACCCCUAACCUGGGAACCUCCAUAUGCUGAGGGUGUAGCCCUAAAAGACAAC
rnacentral:lncRNA from 1 species